rnacentral:rRNA from 1 species
CGGGAGGCUGCAGUAGGGAAUAUUGCACAAUGGGCGAAAGCCUGAUGCAGCAACGCCGCGUGCGCGAAGAAGGCCUUCGGGUCGUAAAGCGCUUUUCUGGGAGAUGAGAAAGGACAGUAUCCCAGGAAUAAGUCUCGGCUAACUACGUGCCAGCAGCCGCGGUAAAACGUAGGAGGCGAGCGUUAUCCGGAUUCACUGGGCGUAAAGCGCGUGCAGGCGGUUUGGUAAGUUAGGCGUGAAAGCUCCCGGCUCAACUGGGAGAGGUCGUCUAAAACUACCGGACUAGAGAGUGGUAGAGGAAAAUGGAAUUCCCGGUGUAGUGGUGAAAU